GUGGAAUCAUUUUGCUAGUCCUGAUACUAGGACUAUUGCUCCAAUUGCUCCUGUUAAUGGUCAAGGUCUAUAGUCUACUAAGUGGAAUGGGUGCAAUAGUCCUAGUAUCAGGACUAGCAAAAUGAUUCCACGUAUUUAAUAUUAACUUAUUCAUAAUUGGAUUUGGAAUUACCCUACUAACUAUAAUUCAAUGAUGACGAGAUGUAGUACGAGAAGGAACAUAUCAAGGAUUACAUACAGGAUUUGUAUCAAUUGGAUUACGAUGAGGAAUAAUUUUAUUUAUUGCAUCAGAGGUAUUAUUUUUCGUUUCUUUUUUUUGAGCAUUCUUUAGAAGAAGAUUAGCACCAACAAUUGAACUAGGAAUACUAUGACCUCCAAUAGGAAUUCAACCCUUUAACCCUAUACAAAUUCCAUUACUUAAUACAGCUAUUCUUUUAGCAUCAGGAGUAACAGUAACAUGAGCACAUCAUAGUUUAAUGGAAUCUAAUCAUACUCAAGCACUACAAGGAUUAUUCUUCACAGUGUUAUUAGGACUAUACUUUACAAUACUUCAAGCAUAUGAAUAUUGAGAAGCACCUUUUACCAUUGCAGAUGCAGUUUAUGGAUUAACAUUCUUUGUUGCAACAGGAUUCCAUGGUUUACACGUAAUUAUUGGAACAAUCUUUUUAUCAACAUGUCUACUUCGACACUCAAUAAAUCAAUUUUCACCAAGACAUCACUUUGGAUUUGAAGCAGCAGCAUGAUACUGACACUUCGUAGACGUAGUAUGAUUAUUCUUAUAUAUCUCUAUUUAUUGAUGAGGUAGAUAAUU